UUUAAUACAUUAAUUUUCUAUUUCAGAUUAUAAAUUCCUUGCUUACUCAUAGCAAAAAAUUUGAAACAUAAUUAUGUAAUAAUUGCCUUAAAUUUGUUCUUUAUUUUUCCUGUGUCAUCAGAGACUUGAUGUUAUUAUGGCAUUCUGUAACUAAAGUUAAAUAUUUUACUUUAACAGAAAACUCAUGUUAAUCCUCUUUUCCUAAAACAUCUUUCCAUAAACACAAAUUUUCUUCCCUUCCCCUUGUUUUGUCCUUUUCUUCUCUCAGAUUCUGUUUUUCUCUCUCUCUUAUACAGACACACACAGCUCACAGACACACAAAGUCAUUUUGUUACUAUAUAGUAGACGGAGUACUCAUUUUAAUUCCAGGGCAUAACCUAUUGUAUUAGUCAGGGUUUUCUAAAGGUGCAGAAGUAAUAGGAUAGAUGUGUAUAUGAAGGGGAGUUUAUAAAGGAGUGCUGACUCACACAAUCACAAGGUGAAGUCCCACAAUAGACCACCUGCAAGGUGAGGAGCAGGAAAGCCAGUCCAACUCCAAAAAACUCAAAAGUAGGGAAGCCAACAGUGCAGCCUUCAGUUUGUGGCUGAAGGCUUGGAAGCUCCUGGCAAACCACUGGUGUAAGUCCAAGAAUCCAAAAGCUGAAGAACCUGGAGUCCGAUGUUUGAGGGCAGGAAGCAUCCAGCAUGGGAGAAAGGUAAAAGCCUGAAGACUCAGAAAUUCAAGUCCUUCCACAUUCUUCUGCCUGCUUUAUUCUAGCCACACUGGCAGCUGAUUAGAUGGUGCCCACCCAGAUUGAAGGUGGGUCUGCCUCUCCUAGUCCACUGACUCAAAUGUUAAUCUCCUUUGGCAACACCCUCAUAGACACACCCAGGAACAAUAUUUUGCAUCCUUCAAUCCAAUCAAGUUGACACUCAAUAUUAACCAUCACACCUAUUAAUAACACUGGGUGCAUGUAUCAGGCAGCACCAUGUUAACUAAAGGCUUUGCUUUAAUCCCAUAAAGUCCUCACAGUAAUUCCAGGAGCAAACAUUAUUGUUCUUUUUUCACAGAUGAGGAAGAUGAAGCCCAGAGUGUUCCAGUGAUGGGCCUCGAUUCACUCAGCUUCAAAUCAGCCAGACUCCAAUGCGCAGGCUCAAUCAGUCAGACUUGGUAUUUGUCUUUCUGGAUCAUGCUGGGGUAUGAUUCUCAUUGCGGACAGAAUAACAACAAGAAGACCUUGAGAAUAAGCAUCCAUUUGUGAGCCCCAAGGGCGAAGAAGCUUUCCUGAAGCAACAACAGGAACAGGAAGCAAAAAGGAUUUGAAAUGAAAUAGCAAGGGUUUUUCCUCUUCUUUCAAAUGACCAAGAAUGGCCAUAAUCAAAAAAUAAAAAAAAAUAAUAGACGUUGAUGUGGAUGCAUUGAACAGUGAACACUUCUACACUGCUGUUGGGAAUGUAAACUAGUACAACCACUAUGGAAAACAGUGUGGAGAUUCCUCAAAGAACUAAAAUCUCACACUGUAGCUCAGGCUGGAGUGCAGUGGAGCGAUCUCAACUUACUGCCAGCUCCGCCUCCCGGGUUCAAGAGAGUCUUGUGCCUCAGCCUCAGUAGUAGCUGGGAUUACAGAUAGAGUACCAAAGGUAUAAUUUGAAGAGAGGAAACACAGUAACACUGCAUUUUUAUAUAAAAUAUGAUACCUUUUUAUUGGAAAAAUAACCAGCCAAAAAUUAAAAAAAAAAACAAUUCAUGUAUCUCAAA